CAGGAAAAAAACCAAGAGAGAAGAGACGUGUCCUUCUACCUUUUUCCUUUUUCCCCUUGUUUUCUUCUUUGGCAAAAAGAGGGGAAGAACAGGAGGGUGGUCAGUGGCCGGAGGAGCGGGGACUGGCGGCGGCGGCAGCAGAACCAGGAGCCUGGUAGCAGGUGGUCAGUGGCGACGACCGGCAGAAAGGCGCGUGGAAAUCAUUCAAAACAGAACCGGACAGGGGUAGAAACGGGGGUUUCUCUUUUCGAUUGACUUCCAGCUAAAUCGAAGGCCGUGGGUUUGGUUUGAAGCUUUAGGAAGAAGAUAAAAGCAAAGAGCAGAGAGGUUGGGGUUGACCUUAGCUCCGACGAGCUUCUUCGGCCUCGAAUUCUGGCGGCCACAGUAAUAGGAAACAGCGGAUUCAAAGGGAAAAAGGAAGAACGAGAGAGGAAGAGGCUCUUUUUUUUUUGGUGGGGACAUGGUCCGAGUCAGUGAUGGGCUGGUCCAUCACAUACACUGCAAAUCUUUACAUAGCUCUGAGCUUCUGCUUUACCUGCAGCUUGCAAGGAAAUGUCUUCACAGAUAGAAAUUAUUUUCCUUCCAACCAUAUUGUUGAGAGCUUCAUUAUAUAAAAGUUUGGAGGAUUAACUCCCAACCUUGUGAUAUGAUGCUCAAAUUAAUAACAGAUGUGCUGUGCAAUGCACUGAUGGAACAAAACAACUGAAAUAUUUGAGAGUUGCACUACAAAAAUGUGCAAGUUCAAGCUCUCAUGAGCAAAGAAUAACGAACAUGGGACAAGAAAAGGAGAAUCAUGAAAGGUUGCUGUUGUAAAGAAACUUAGAUUUGCUGUUGAAGAACAUAGUCAUGCUUGCUGUUUGCGUCGCCAUUCUGCCCUUGCUCUUAUCACCUCGGCUUUAUCCUCUUGCAAGCGAAGCAGGUGGGUGCUUCCCAAAUCUGGUUUGCAUAAACUUGUUCUAGUAGCGUUUUCCUCAGUGUCGCUUGUUGUCAUGCUUGUGAGGGACUCCAGCAACUGAGAUUGCCGGCAUUCACGACGGUACUGCAAUGUGAUGCUUGUGAGAUGGUAAUCCUCUAACACAUUCAUCGGCACACUCUGCACGAGGUGGUAGAUUGCUGCAGUUAGUGGACAUUCUGCUGGUGUUCAAUCUGUACCUCAACUGAAUAUUCUUUUUAUGGACUAGUGAAGCAUUUCCUGGGCUUAAAGGAUGCUAAUGUUAUAACACAUCACAUUAGUUUUUAUAUAGAGAAUUCACACUUAGCAGAAAUAGCAACAUAUAUUUCUUCUGUAAAUGUAUUGCUCUCCUUUCAGAAAUAUGGUGGAAAUGCCACCUUGUAGGUCUGAAUGCCGAACCUUGCCCCAGUGAUGCACUGAGGAGAGAGAGUAUUAGUGUAAUGAAUGUAGAAAAAUAUUGCCCCUUUUUCCUGAGGAAA